GAGUAAGUAGCUUUAUUUGGAUUAGAAGCGUCAACACUGAUAAGGUUGAAGGAAGGGUGUUCGAGUCUCCCUCUUACUACA
rnacentral:tRNA from 1 species